rnacentral:rRNA from 1 species
GCCUACCAAGUCUACGAUGAGUAGCAGGUCUGAGAGGAUGAUCUGCCACACUGGGACUGAAACACGGCCCAGACUCCUACGGGAGAGCAGCAGUGGGGAAUAUUGCGCAAUGGGGAAACCCUGACGCAGCGACGCCGCGUGUAGGAAGAAGGCUUUCGGGUCGUAAACUACUGUCAAGAGGGAAGAAACUGUUUAGGUAUAAUACGCCUAUUCACUGACGGUACCUCUAGAGGAAGCACCGGCUAACUCCGUGCCAGCAGCCGCGGUAAUACGGAGGGUGCGAGCGUUAAUCGGAAUCACUGGGCGUAAAGCGUGCGUAGGCGGCGCAUCAAGUCAGACGUGAAAGCCCUCGGCUCAACCGAGGAAUUGCGUUUGAAACUGAUGUGCUAGAGUCUCGGAGAGGUUAGGGGAAUUCCAGGUGUAGGAGUGAAAUCCGUAGAUAUCUGGAGGAACACCGGUGGCGAAGGCGCCUAACUGGACGAGUACUGACGCUGAGGUACGAAAGCGUGGGGAGCAAACAGGAUUAGAUACCCUGGUAGUCCACGCUGUAAACGAUGGAUAUUAGGUGUCGGGGUUAACACUUCGGUGCCGCAGUUAACGCGUUAAAUAUCCCGCCUGGGAGUACGGUCGCAA